rnacentral:misc_RNA from 1 species
UAUCCGUAGGUGAACCUGCGGAGGGAUCACUACUGGCUUGCAAAAGCUCUGAAACCACUGUUUAUCUACCUGAAUCUACUUCGGCGGGCGGCCCCAGGGCGGGGCCGUAGCCGCAAGGCGCCCGCCGAAGACCCCUAAACUCUGUCGUCUUGAGAAUCUCUGAGUAUCAUAUUAAACAGAAAACAACUUUCAACAACGGAUCUCUUGGCUCUG